UUACCCACUGGCCAUGUGGUGCAUUCAUCACAGUUCUAAUACUCUGAGGGCACAUCCAUUGGAGUGGUCCUACUAGCUAGCACGGUGCACUGGACACAAUGGACCAACACUCUAACUCAGGAGAAAGAUUGAGAACAUACUCCAUGACUCUGUGCACGACACGCUACGUGGGUGAACUGCAACAAGUCACAAACGUGUGAGGAAGGGGAUCUUUUAGCCUCGAUCUCAGGCCGCACUGAAGAUGAGGCCAUACCACUAUCUAUGACGAGGCCUAGCAUAUGCCAUUACCUACUCAGCGUGAAUGUGAUCUGCUGCCAGCAUGUUCCAGUCCAGUGGCUGUGCUAUAGGAUAAGAAUGGAUGAAUGCAUGAAAGGAUGGAGGUGAGGGGAGAUGCUUUGUAGAGACGGCACCUGUUGUAGGCUACUAAUAAUAAUCACGAGGUUCAUUGUUUUGUUCAUAUUUCCCGAUAGUAUUGCUUGCCCAUGUGUUAGACCUUAUCGGUGGAGGGAGGUCAAUAUUGAGCAACCAUAGCUAGCUGAGUUGGCAUGGGCUGAGAGGUUUCAUUUGUCAUGGUAUUUUACACUACAGUAUGGUGUAAUUAUUUAUCCAUGCAUGUAUGGACAUGUGGCAGUACUAUUGGAGGUGACCUUUCACUAAUUAUGACCUUUCAAUGACAUUCUACCAAAUUGCUUUGUUUACUGUGAAAGGGGUGGAAUGUGACACCUCUCUGAAAAGGGGGAGGAUCUGAGCAAUGAUUAUAUUUACUGAGAAACAAGGCUGAAAGGGGCGAAAUUUCCUCUUUAUGUGUGGUCCCACUGUGUACACUGUAGCUAAGUGGUUGACUUAUGUUUUCUCUAGUAAGGUUUGCAUUUUGUGAAUGUGGUCUGUCUAGUCAGACCAACAGUGGCUGUAUUAUAGAGGGUGGCCUGCUAACACAGGUCCAAACACAUGCUAUGGAGACUUUGGGGAACAUUAACCUGGCUGUAUUAUAGAGGGUGGCCUGCUAACACAGGUCCAAACACAUGCUAUGGAGACUUUGGGACCCAUUAACCUGGCUGUAUUAUAGAUGGUGGCCUGCUAACACAGGUCCAAACACAUGCUAUGGAGACUUUGGGGCCCAUUAACCUGGCUGUAUUAUAGAGGGUGGCCUGCUAACACAGGUCCAAACACAUGCUAUGGAGACUUUGGGGCCCAUGAGGGUGGUCUGCUAACACAGGUCCAAACACGGCCCAUUAAUCUGGCUGUAUUAUAGAGGGUGACCACAAUAGAUAGACUCCACUCUAUACUGCUUAUUGAACCUCCCACCCCUCACACACACACCUUCACACACACACACACACACACCUCACAGACUGGCAGUCCAUUUCCUACGGAUGACUUUGGUAGCACUUCAUUUGACGGACGUUCCUCUACCCCGCCCACUCAUAAUACUGCUGACAAUGCAAGACGAGAUUUGUUUGGAGCACCCCCCCUUGAAGAGAGUUCAAAGAUUACGACGACAAUGACAACUGUAGAUCAAUUUGGAGCAGUUCCUUUUAGCUGAAUUUUAAUAUUUAUUUUUCCGUGUGUUUAUAAGUGUUGUUUUGUGUGUAGUAGGAUCACAUGACUCCACUAUUGACUGUACAUCUGUGCAAUUAUAAAUGGAUUUUUAUGCUUUUGCAAUUGCAAUUAA